UUUGAAGAAAAAGUUCUCAUCCAUCCUCCAUUUUUCCUUCUUCAAUUUACAGAGAAUAUUUAAGAGAGUGUUUGGAAGGAAGAAGAAGAGGAAUUUUACUAGAAUUUUAAGGUUGAAUAAGAGAAGGAGAACUCAAGCAAAGUGUAUCCAUGGCUGAAUCUUGGUUCGUUCUACACAUCACUUGUUUUUAAUUUGGUUUGAACUCUUCAAAAGGAAUUAAGAUGCCGAGAAGAAUUAAACCGAGCUUUUAGAACAAGGAUCUAGCCCAAGACGGCAGAGAUCGAGUUUUCGAUGCCUGAUAGACUGCCUUAGUUUGCUGAAGAUCCGUUAUCGAUUGCCAAGUCGACAGAUACAGGUAAAGAAAAGCGUUGUUCGUCGGCUUCACGCCAUCUUUCGGUCUAAGCUAGCAGGUAGUCCGGGAGGGGUGUGACAACAAUUAUUUCGAAGAAAGGCACUAAAUCAAAAUCUGUGCGAAGAAAACUCGACAGAUUUAGCAAGUACUAUUACGCACAAUGCGUCUUCCAAUGCCAGAUCACACAGCAAGCAAAGGGCAUCUCAUACUAGAUCACAUGGCAAGUAUGCAACAUCAUAUUCAAGAUCACACAACAUGAAUAGGGCAUUAUAUUAUAGAUCACACAACAUGAAUAGAACACCUUAUCCUAGAUCACACCACAAGGAUAAGGCAUUAUAUUGCAUUGGAUACAAAUAUAAUCUUAUUUUAUGAAACAUUGGCUUUAUAGUUUUCCACAUAACACCUGUCACGUAUUUUAACAUAAUUACUUCUAAGGGCUUAGAGGAAUUAUUUACAAUACAUUUCUUUCAAUAAAUAAUUCACGAAUAAUAUAUUUCUUUAUGCAGUUUAUCACCUUAUUUCAGUUUUACAAUCAAUCUAAUUCAUUCAUAAGUCUCAUGUGUUCGAGAAUUGAAAAGCAUAAGGGACUUUAUGCAACAUGGUCUUAGAUCUAAAUAUUUAAACACAUUUUAGAAACCUUUGUUAAGGAAAAAACCCACCCAUAGUUGCAGUUGGCUAGCUUUUUAUCCUAGUUUUCCUUCAUUAGGAAUUCCCUUACACUUAUCAGAAUCUUUGUCGGAAAUGAAUUCAUUCGGCUUGUUAAAAUCUUGGAUACUCUCCAAGUUUUUCUCAAACGCUUGAGGUGAAAAGCAACUUC